rnacentral:lncRNA from 1 species
GAGAUAAUGACAGACUGUUCUCCUCAAAAACAACCGAAGCUGUACACAGCAUCAACUGACUCAUCUUUUUGCUCCUGGAGAACAAGUGGGGGCCUUCCGGUUCGAACUGCAGCCUCACGUCUCCGAGGUCAUUAGCAGUUUCAGAUGGAUCAUGGAUGGUACAUUCUUUGAUUAACUCUGACCUUGACUAAAGAGAGACAACAAAUGAAUGAAAUGUACCAUUGUUGUGGCAAGAGAGGGUGGCCGACCAAAGCGCUGACUCCAAGUCCUGGAAUGCUGUUUCUCACCGUGGCACAAGUGUACCGAAAGCAACGUGAUGGAGCCAAGUCCCUUGACCUACAAAAACCCCUAAUCUCUGUUGCUUCUGGACCUGUGUGAAGCAGAACAUCAGUAUGCAAGAUGAUAGAAGGACAUAUGACAGGGAGAGAGAAAACGUGUGAGCAUAGGGCUGGAAGACCCGGAUAUAUUCCCAGAAUUCUACUUCCUCCAAAUAGGCCACACUUCCUACAGAUUCCAAAACCUCCUUGUAGCAUGAUCACCUAGAGACCAAGCCUUUCCCACAGAAGGCUUUGGGAUCUUCCAGUCCUGA